rnacentral:rRNA from 1 species
CCUACGGGAGGCAGCAGUGGGGAAUUUUGCGCAAUGGGGGAAACCCUGACGCAGCAACGCCGCGUGAGUGAUGAAGGCCUUCGGGUCGUAAAGCUCUGUCUAGAGGAAGGAAAUGUACGGUGGCUAAUAUCCAUUGUACUUGACGGUACCUCUGAAGGAAGCACCGGCUAACUCCGUGCCAGCAGCCGCGGUAAU